UUAAGCGACUAAGCGUACACGGUGGAUGCCCUGGCAGUCAGAGGCGAUGAAGGACGUGCUAAUCUGCGAUAAGCGUCGGUAAGGUGAUAUGAACCGUUAUAACCGGCGAUUUCCGAAUGGGGAAACCCAGUGUGAUUCGUCACACUAUCAUUAACUGAAUCCAUAGGUUAAUGAGGCGAACCGGGGGAACUGAAACAUCUAAGUACCCCGAGGAAAAGAAAUCAACCGAGAUUCCCCCAGUAGCGGCGAGCGAACGGGGAGCAGCCCAGAGCCUGAAUCAGUGUGUGUGUUAGUGGAAGCGUCUGGAAAGGCGCGCGAUACAGGGUGACAGCCCCGUACACAAAAAUGCACAUACUGUGAGCUCGAUGAGUAGGGCGGGACACGUGGUAUCCUGUCUGAAUAUGGGGGGACCAUCCUCCAAGGCUAAAUACUCCUGACUGACCGAUAGUGAACCAGUACCGUGAGGGAAAGGCGAAAAGAACCCCGGCGAGGGGAGUGAAAAAGAACCUGAAACCGUGUACGUACAAGCAGUGGGAGCACAGAGCAAUCUGUGUGACUGCGUACCUUUUGUAUAAUGGGUCAGCGACUUAUAUUCUGUAGCAAGGUUAACCGAAUAGGGGAGCCGAAGGGAAACCGAGUCUUAACUGGGCGUUAAGUUGCAGGGUAUAGACCCGAAACCCGGUGAUCUAGCCAUGGGCAGGUUGAAGGUUGGGUAACACUAACUGGAGGACCGAACCGACUAAUGUUGAAAAAUUAGCGGAUGACUUGUGGCUGGGGGUGAAAGGCCAAUCAAACCGGGAGAUAGCUGGUUCUCCCCGAAAGCUAUUUAGGUAGCGCCUCGUGAAUUCAUCUCCGGGGGUAGAGCACUGUUUCGGCAAGGGGGUCAUCCCGACUUACCAACCCGAUGCAAACUGCGAAUACCGGAGAAUGUUAUCACGGGAGACACACGGCGGGUGCUAACGUCCGUCGUGAAGAGGGAAACAACCCAGACCGCCAGCUAAGGUCCCAAAGUCAUGGUUAAGUGGGAAACGAUGUGGGAAGGCCCAGACAGCCAGGAUGUUGGCUUAGAAGCAGCCAUCAUUUAAAGAAAGCGUAAUAGCUCACUGGUCGAGUCGGCCUGCGCGGAAGAUGUAACGGGGCUAAACCAUGCACCGAAGCUGCGGCAGCGACGCUUAUGCGUUGUUGGGUAGGGGAGCGUUCUGUAAGCCUGUGAAGGUGUACUGUGAGGUAUGCUGGAGGUAUCAGAAGUGCGAAUGCUGACAUAAGUAACGAUAAAGCGGGUGAAAAGCCCGCUCGCCGGAAGACCAAGGGUUCCUGUCCAACGUUAAUCGGGGCAGGGUGAGUCGACCCCUAAGGCGAGGCCGAAAGGCGUAGUCGAUGGGAAACAGGUUAAUAUUCCUGUACUUGGUGUUACUGCGAAGGGGGACGGAGAAGGCUAUGUUGGCCGGGCGACGGUUGUCCCGGUUUAAGCGUGUAGGCUGGUUUUCCAGGCAAAUCCGGAAAAUCAAGGCUGAGGCGUGAUGACGAGGCACUACGGUGCUGAAGCAACAAAUGCCCUGCUUCCAGGAAAAGCCUCUAAGCAUCAGGUAACAUCAAAUCGUACCCCAAACCGACACAGGUGGUCAGGUAGAGAAUACCAAGGCGCUUGAGAGAACUCGGGUGAAGGAACUAGGCAAAAUGGUGCCGUAACUUCGGGAGAAGGCACGCUGAUAUGUAGGUGAAGUCCCUCGCGGAUGGAGCUGAAAUCAGUCGAAGAUACCAGCUGGCUGCAACUGUUUAUUAAAAACACAGCACUGUGCAAACACGAAAGUGGACGUAUACGGUGUGACGCCUGCCCGGUGCCGGAAGGUUAAUUGAUGGGGUCAGCGCAAGCGAAGCUCUUGAUCGAAGCCCCGGUAAACGGCGGCCGUAACUAUAACGGUCCUAAGGUAGCGAAAUUCCUUGUCGGGUAAGUUCCGACCUGCACGAAUGGCGUAAUGAUGGCCAGGCUGUCUCCACCCGAGACUCAGUGAAAUUGAACUCGCUGUGAAGAUGCAGUGUACCCGCGGCAAGACGGAAAGACCCCGUGAACCUUUACUAUAGCUUGACACUGAACAUUGAGCCUUGAUGUGUAGGAUAGGUGGGAGGCUUAGAAGUGUGGACGCCAGUCUGCAUGGAGCCGACCUUGAAAUACCACCCUUUAAUGUUUGAUGUUCUAACGUUGACCCGUAAUCCGGGUUGCGGACAGUGUCUGGUGGGUAGUUUGACUGGGGCGGUCUCCUCCUAAAGAGUAACGGAGGAGCACGAAGGUUGGCUAAUCCUGGUCGGACAUCAGGAGGUUAGUGCAAUGGCAUAAGCCAGCUUGACUGCGAGCGUGACGGCGCGAGCAGGUGCGAAAGCAGGUCAUAGUGAUCCGGUGGUUCUGAAUGGAAGGGCCAUCGCUCAACGGAUAAAAGGUACUCCGGGGAUAACAGGCUGAUACCGCCCAAGAGUUCAUAUCGACGGCGGUGUUUGGCACCUCGAUGUCGGCUCAUCACAUCCUGGGGCUGAAGUAGGUCCCAAGGGUAUGGCUGUUCGCCAUUUAAAGUGGUACGCGAGCUGGGUUUAGAACGUCGUGAGACAGUUCGGUCCCUAUCUGCCGUGGGCGCUGGAGAACUGAGGGGGGCUGCUCCUAGUACGAGAGGACCGGAGUGGACGCAUCACUGGUGUUCGGGUUGUCAUGCCAAUGGCACUGCCCGGUAGCUAAAUGCGGAAGAGAUAAGUGCUGAAAGCAUCUAAGCACGAAACUUGCCCCGAGAUGAGUUCUCCCUGACUCCUUGAGAGUCCUGAAGGAACGUUGAAGACGACGACGUUGAUAGGCCGGAUGUGUAAGCGCAGCGAUGCGUUGAGCUAACCGGUACUAAUGAACCGUGAGGCUUAACCUU
rnacentral:rRNA from 1 species